AAUGAACGCUGGCGGCGUGGAUUAGGCAUGCAAGUCGAACGCGAAAGUUCCCUUCGGGGAGCGAGUAGAGUGGCGAAAGGGUGAGUAAUGCUUGGAUGACCUGCCCUCGAGACGGGGACAACAGUUUCGAAAGGACUGCUAAUACCCGAUAGUCCGGUUUAGAUGCGUCUAGAUCGGUAAAUGGUGCUUCCGCUCGAGGAGGGGUUCAAGUCCUAUCAGCUUGUUGGUGAGUAACGGCUCACCAAGGCGAUGACGGGUAGCCGGACUGAGAGGUUGGCCGGCACAUGGGAACUGAGACACUGUCCUGACUCCUAC
rnacentral:rRNA from 1 species